GAAAGAACGUAGCGAAAUGCGAUAAGUAAUGUGAAUUGCAGAAUUCAGUGAAUCAUCGAAUCUUUGAACGCACAUUGCGCCCCCUGGUAUUCCGGGGGGCAUGCCUGUUCGAGCGUCAUUACAACCCUCAAGCUCUGCUUGGUAUUGGGCCCCGCCAGUUCUGGCGGGCCCUAAAGUCAGUGGCGGUGCCUUCCGGCUCCGAGCGUAGUAAUUCUUCUCGCUCUGGAGACCCGGUUGUGUGCUUGCCAACAACCCCCAAUUUUUUAAGGUUGACCUCGGAUCAGGUAGGGAUACCCGCUGAACUUAAGCAUAUCAAUAAGCGGAGGA
rnacentral:misc_RNA from 1 species